rnacentral:rRNA from 1 species
CUGAACCAGCCAAGUAGCGUGUAGGAUGAAGGGUCCUACGGAUUGUAAACUUCUUUUAUACGGGAAUAAAGUAUCCUACGUGUAGGAUUUUGUAUGUACCGUAUGAAUAAGCAUCGGCUAACUCCGUGCCAGCAGCCGCGGUAAUACGGAGGAUCCGAGCGUUAUCCGGAUUUAUUGGGUUUAAAGGGAGCGUAGGUGGAUUGUUAAGUCAGUUGUGAAAGUUUGCGG